ACCAUGGGCCAGUCACACGGCUGCUUGGACCUUGCUACCUGGUCUGGUGGCAGAAGAGCUGGAUUAACCCAUGUCUAAGGUGGUGUCCAUCUCUGACAUGCUAAGUGGGCUUCCAUUGUGGGGUCAGCCCAGAUGCCAGCCCACAGAACCCCAGCAGUGGAGGAUGGCCCAUGGGAACCUGGAUGGGGCAAAACCCUACCGGUGGGACACGAGGCGGGUGAAGCUGUGUGAAGGGGGAAGCUAGGGCAGUGUGCAUGUGUGUGUGUGUGUGCAUGUAUGGGUGGGGGACUGGGUGAUGUGGGAAGACUUGCAUUUGAGGGUCUCACAGCUCAGAGCCUCAAGAGGGAAGCAAGUGAGGAAGGGCCACCUGCCUGGGGUGUUGGGAAUAAUGCAGCCUUUUCAGAGCAGCCAGCCAGAGGGAACGGGCACGGCCAGGUGGCUUUUCUCCCUCCCCCCUCUCCCCUCCUCCCCUGAGUAGUGCUGUGUAGCAGCACUCUGCUGGUUGCAUUAGUGACCAGCCUCAGAGACCAGAGGCCCAACUCAAAGGAGUUCUGAACUCUGCACGGGUCUGGGUCUGGGAGCCCCACCCUCUCCAAUGCCCCCCACCUCUGAGUCAUGCUGGGUUUCUCCUGGGGGGUCCAGGCCUUUUCCCCUGUGCCCUGUCUCCCAUUCCGUGUUCUCUGGACUGGAAACUCCAGCCCGUGGGCCCCAGGCCCCGGCCUCCCGGUCCCACCUGUCCUGGCCCCUUUCCUUUAGUCUCAGUGCUGGACAUGAAAGCAGAUGGAUGGGCUCAGCAUGAUAUUAGCAACAGAACCUAAUUUCACAGCAUUUUUGUGUAAUACUCCAUAAAACUGAACAAAGGAGCUGUGGUCCAAAUCCAUCUCAUUAUGUGAGAGGGGCCAGCACAGGCAGCCGAGCAUCCAGAUUUGGGGUUGGUGCUGGAUAUCGGGGCACUAGAGGUGUCGUCAAGGGGGAGGGAAACAGAGCCUGAGAGGCAGGACCCCGUGUUAUCCGAGGGGCAGGUGGCAGGGCAGGAAGGGAGGUGGAGCCCACCAGGCAGACUGAUGGCUCAGCCCUCAGGACCACCUGCAAGGAGCCUUGUCCUUGGACGAUCUGUCCAGACGGAGAGGGGAGACUGGCCCAUGGCACCCUCCUCCCUCUGCCAGAGGUUAAGCAUCCUGAGCUGGUGCACUGUGGGUGCCGAGUGGGGACCCAGGCUGUCCUCCUGGGCCAGGUGGAGGGGGCACCCAACAGGCUUUUGCCAAAGAGGACUGGACAGCAGUGCCACAUGCCUGUCGUCUUCCGGUGGAGGGCACCGUGCCCAGGAGAACAUUUCACUGGAAGAGGAGGCUCAGAGGAUGGGGUGUCGUGGCCGGGUGGGAGCUGACCACGCGGAGUUGGCCACAGCUCUUCUGAGUCAACCACAUGCCUGGACGGUGAAUCGUGACAGAGCGCCCGGCUUUCGAGGACGCAUCCCGGCCUGUCAACACCCUCAGAAAUGGCUCUCUGGAUGUGACCGAGACAGAAGCAAUUUCCAGGCACCCGAUGUGGCUGGCCCAGCUGCCUCAACCAAAAAACGUUUUCACCUGUGUCUGUUUUAUUCCCAAGGGAGCACGGCUCUGAGGCUGGCUGGGAUAAACGAGCAUCCAGGGGCUCUGGUCUCUGAGACUUGUUCUGCUGCACAGGGGAAGGGAUACAGAAGCGCAGGUGGAAGAUGCUUUUUAGAAAAGCAAGAAGCAUGAAGGCCGGGGACAGGGGCCUCGCUUCUUCUGCUGCUGACACGUUUCAGUUGGUGCAGCAACAUAACCGGCCACAGCCUUGGCUUCCGUCCUCGUCACCAUUGACUGUGCUUCAGGAACCUCCCAGGGAUUUAAAUUUGCAGAGCUGGCUGGACAUGUUACAAAGCAAGUGGCUGGCAGUGGUGAGCCCUGACUGUGACCUUCACCCCAGAAGGAGGCUGCAUUGAGCUGAGAGCGACCUUUUCUCCCCCCAUGAAGAGACUGAGAUCCCUAAAUGCAUCCUGGCAAAAGGGCCCGCUGCCUCUUUAUCCUUAAAAUGCAAGUCUGAGAGGAGUACACUCUGCGGGGGUCCCUGUGGCAGGAGACCGUGAGGGUGGGCAUUGCCACUGCCUUGGGGUUGGAGGAUGGCCCCUGACCCCUGCCCUAAUCCCAUCGAUUUCUCCCAAUCUGCAUCUGAUGAGAUCUGUGCAGGGAUCAAUACACCUUCAGUCCUGUGAAUGAACGCGGGGAGGUGGGGGUUUGCAGGCAGAGAACCCAUGGCUUAGGGAGACUAGCACGCAGGCCGGCCUUGCAGUCAACAGGAAAAGCCGCCCUCUGGCCAAGGCUGCACCCCAAAGACAGGACAUGAAGGGCAAAGGUCAGCCAGGCGCAGGUCACUGGAGCCCAAUGGACCGAAGGUGGGUGUGAUCAGUAAUUCACAUGGGUGGGGACGUCACCCGCAGUCCCCGGAGCUGGGCUCCAGGAACCCAUCAGCCACUGAAGGGGGUGUUUCUCCCACAUGCUGGACCUGCAGUCCCCAGGGGAGGCUGGGCUGGGAGGAGGAUUUGAAUUCCCUCCCGAGGAACCACCAGAGUAGCAUCUUCUUCCCACGGCACGGGUUGAACCCACUUCACCUCUUGUCCAGUGUCACCAACAGCUGCCCCUGGAGGGCUCUUUGCAGUCUGGCUUUGACCCUCAGUCCACUCAGCCCUGGGUGGCCAAUUAAUGUUUGUAGAAUGACUAAGUGAAUUUCUGGUGAGGCAAUCCUGUCCCCCAUGCCUGUCAUAGCCCCAUUUGCAUCUUGUCACCAUCUGAGCUUCUGCCUUGGCCUAGGACCUUUGUGUGGGAUGUGCACCUGGGUACUUCCCCCUUUUGAAAUCCUCCUGCACAUCCUUCAGAACCCCACUGAAAUGUCACCUCCUCCAGGAAGACUUCUGUGCACCUUCAGUUAGAAGUGGUCCUUCCCUCCCUAACCUCCUGGAACUUUCUGUUGUCUCAUAGCCUUCCAGCAGUGAGGGGCUCCUCCCUCGAGCCUAGACCCACCCAUUGGUUAAUGUAUUCCCCAUGCUGUCUGGAGCGGGGCUUAGCCCCAGUCAGGCAGAUCAUAAGCAUUUAUUCCAAUGAUUACUUAAAGGAAAAUCUUGUAUUCCUGGGCAGUGCCCCAUGGCUAAGGCAGAGCCCAGCCCCUUUUCAGCUUCGCCAGGGACACACCUGCAGCCUUGGGUCCUGAUAAGGAUGCUGCCAUUCAGCUGCGUGGUGUGGAGUCUGCAGCUUUCCCAGUUCCCUCCUUGGGUCCACCCACCCUGGGAUCCUUGGCCUGAGCCCAUCCCUCCCCUGACAAGUCCCAUCAGGAAUGAAGACCAGCUUUCCUGGGGCCCCCUCCAGCUUAGAACAUGCAUCUUCCUGGACGUCUGCCUCCGGCUGAGCACAGGAAAGCCCAUAUGCUUCGCACCUGUGAAUCUGGAGAUGAGCUUCCUGGGUGUGGGAACCUGGGUCAGUGAGAGGAGAAGCAGAUGUGGGGGCUGGCGGGACAGCGGAGCCGCGUCGGCAGAAGAAUGAGCUCAGGAGAAGGAGGCAGGAGGGACACGUCCUGAAAGAUGGGGUGUGUUUGCCACUCAGCGUGCAAGCUGCUGCUCAGGUGGGGGCUUAGUGACCCCGGACGUGUCUCCCUGACACACGAUGGCUGCUUCUCUUUCUCUCUCCCUCAGUAGGAGUGGUCGGCAGAGCUGUGGCUGGCUGUCCCUGUUCUCAUCUGGGGUUUCUUUUUGAGAGGAAGAUGGAUUUUGAGUCUUUCAAUUUCUGUGCCUUGGGUGGCAAUAAUACUGCUGUGUCAACAUUUUGAAGUUAAGUCUCAUAUGUGACCUAAUCUCUCUUUUUUCCUUUGGGCAUCUGAUGCUGGGUCUUUGCCUACUGCCCACCCGUUAAAGGUGUGGGUGUUUUCCAUUUUGUCUGGAUCCCAAGGGGCUAGCAGGACCAGUGGGGAUCUCCCCAUGGUCUCCCAGCCUCUGGCCUUGUCCCCCUGGAGCCACACUCCCUGCUGCUGAGGUGGACUUUCGUCCAGCAGCAGGGACGUGGCAGAGACCCCGUGGGUGUGGUCAUUAUGAACAGGCUUGGAAACGGCCCACGGCAUGAGGGUGCUCUCCGUCAGGGCAGAGGCCUCCCUCUGAAACCGACGCCUGGAUCCCAGUUCACCAGGCCACAGGGCACCCCAGGGUUAUGUGGGGAGGUGUAUCAGUCAGUCCUGCUGACUGCCAUAGCAAGUGGUCCCCAAGCCCCACUGACUUAACACCCUGCACGUUUAUUCUCACUCUCACCAGUAAAGAGGCCAAAUAUGGCCAAGUCUCAGUAAGAUGAUAAAAGUCUGUGUUGGAUAUUUCCCAUGUGCUUGUCUGUCAAAAGCUAUUGCAAAAUGACAAGUAAAAUUGAUAAAAGGGGAUAUAGCUGUUGGGUUUCCUUGUCUAUUUAUUUAUUUGCCUGCGUUGGAUCUUAGUUGCAGCCUGCGGGAUCUUCUUCAUUGUUGCAUGUGGGUUUCUCUCUAGUUGUGGCGCACAGGCUCUAGAGCACACGGGCUCAGUAGUUGUGGUGCGUGGGCUUAGUUGCUCCGAGGCUUGUGGGAUCUUAGUUCCUUGACCAGUGAUCGAACCCGUGUCCCCUGUACUCGAAGGCGGAUUCUUAACCACUGGACCCCCAGGGAAGUCCCUCCUUGUUUAUUUAAAGAGAGAGUAAAGCAGAGAUUUGGGGGAUUAGCACAGAGUCCUCUCUAACCUAAUCUUCCACCUGAAGACUCAAAUAACUCAAAUAAUAAAUUUUCCUGUUAGUUCAAGAAAUGUAAGUAUUCCCCACAAUAGCCAAAAGGUGGAAGCAACCAGAAUUUCCAUCAAUGGAUGAACAAACAAAAAGUGGCCCAUUGACAUGAUGGAAUAUUAUUCAGCCUUGAAAAAGAAGGAAAUUCUGACACCUGCUGCAACAUGAUGAACUCUGAGAACAUGAUGCUAAGGGAAAUAAGCCAGGCACAAAAGGACAGAUACUGUCUGAUUCCACUCAUAUGAGGUACUUAGAGAAGUCAAAGUCAUAGAGGUGGUAUGGUAGGGGGAGGGGGAGUUAGUGUUUGGGAAGGUGAGAAAGUUCUAGAGAUGGAUGGUGGUGACGGCUGCACAGCAAUGUGAAUGUACUGAAUGUCACUGAACUGUAUACUUCAAAAUGGUUAAAAUGCUAAAUUUUAUGUUAUGUGUAUUUUACCACAAUUAAAAAAGAAGA